rnacentral:misc_RNA from 1 species
AAAGGUGUUGCAUAUGGAGACUGUUCUAUUGUUUUGGAUAAAUAUGAAUAUGGCUAUGAUUAUGGUACAAAUAUGAUGUAUGGAAGCUCAUCAACUGAAGCUACUUCUAUUAGUGAUUAUGAAGGUGGGCAAUUGAAUAGACACACUCAAAUCUAUAUCUAUAUGAUCACCCUCCUAUGUUUUCAUAUUUCUCCUCAUCGAAGCGAUCAUUUUCGUAAUCCAUUCAAGAUUCUACUGAAAUGAGCCACACUCCAUAUGCCAAUUUUAGUGAUCCAUCUGAUAUAG